UACGUAGGGGGCGAGCGUUGUCCGGAUUUAUUGGGCGUAAAGAGCUCGUAGGCGGUUUGGAAAGUCGGGUGUGAAAACUCCGGGCUCAACUCGGAGACGCCACUCGAUACUGCCAUGACUAGAGUCCGGUAGGGGAGUGCGGAAUUCCUGGUGUAGCGGUGAAAUGCGCAGAUAUCAGGAGGAACACCGGUGGCGAAGGCGGCACUCUGGGCCGGAACUGACGCUGAGGAGCGAAAGCGUGGGGAGCGAACAGG
rnacentral:rRNA from 1 species